UGGAAUCUAGAUGAAAAACACGCUGAUGCUGGAGGAACUCAGCAGGCCAGGCAGCAUCCGUGAAGAAAAGCAGGUGGUCAAUGUUUCGGGUCAGGACCCUUCUUCAGGACUCAGAGGAUGGGAGCUGUAGCUGCUAUGGAUGGAUCUGUAAGAUGCAGAGAAUGAGAAUAUUGAAGCUGCUAGGCAGCGUGGUAACAGGCCCUUCCAGCCCAACAAGUCUGCACCGCCCAUUUUAAACCCAAAUUAACCUACCCGUACAUCUUUGCAAUGUGGAAGGAAACCCACGCAGACACGGGAGAACGUACAAACUCCUUACAGACAGCGACGGGAAUC